rnacentral:rRNA from 1 species
CAGCCGCCGCGGUAAUACGAAGGGUGCAAGCGUUACUCGGAAUUACUGGGCGUAAAGCGUGCGUAGGUGGUUGUUUAAGUCUGCUGUGAAAGCCCUGGGCUCAACCUGGGAAUUGCAGUGGAUACUGGGCGACUAGAGUAAGGUAGAGGAUAGUGGAAUUUCCGGUGUAGCAGUGAAAUGCGUAGAGAUAGGAAGGAACAUCUGUGGCGAAGGCGACUAUCUGGGCCAUUACUGACACUGAGGCACGAAAGCGUGGGGAGCAAACAGGAUUAGAUACCCCGGUAGUCCCUGUCUCUUAUAC